rnacentral:tRNA from 1 species
GGAGAAGUACCCAAGAGGCUGUAAGGGGCUCCCCUGCUAAGGGAGUAGACGGGUCAUGCCGUGCGCGGGUUCGAAUCCCGCCUUCUCCG